CGUAGGGGGCGAGCGUUGUCCGGAAUCAUUGGGCGUAAAGAGCUCGUAGGCGGCUCGGUAAGUCGGGUGUGAAACCCUCAGGCUCAACCUGGGGACGCCACCCGAUACUGCUGUGGCUAGAGUCCAGUAGGGGAGUGUGGAAUUCCCGGUGCAGCGGUGAAAUGCGCAGAUAUCGGGAGGAACACCAGCGGCGCAGGCGGCACUCUGGGCUGGUACUGACGCUGAGGAGCGAAAGCGUGGGUAGCAAACAGGAUUAGAUACCCUGGUAGUCCACGCCGUAAACGUUGGGCACUAGGUGUGGGGCCUUUCCAACGGGUUCCGUGCCGUAGCUAACGCAUUAAGUGCCCCGCCUGGGGAGUACGGCCGCAAGGCUA
rnacentral:rRNA from 1 species